AACGAACGCUGGCGGCAUGCCUAACACAUGCAAGUCGAACGAGACCUUCGGGUCUAGUGGCGCACGGGUGCGUAACGCGUGGGAACCUGCCCUUAGGUUCGGAAUAACUCCCCGAAAGGGGUGCUAAUACCGGAUAAUGUCUUCGAACCAAAGAUUUAUCGCCUUGGGAUGGGCCCGCGUUGGAUUAGCUAGUUGGUAGGGUAAAAGCCUACCAAGGCGACGAUCCAUAGCUGGUCUGAGAGGAUGAUCAGCCACACUGGGACUGAGACACGGCCCAGACUCCUACGGGAGGCAGCAGUGGGGAAUAUUGGACAAUGGGCGAAAGCCUGAUCCAGCAAUGCCGCGUGAGUGAUGAAGGCCUUAGGGUUGUAAAGCUCUUUUACCCGGGAUGAUAAUGACAGUACCGGGAGAAUAAGCUCCGGCUAACUCCGUG
rnacentral:rRNA from 1 species